GUAAGGGAAUCUUCGGCAAGUGGACGAAAGUCUGACCGAGCAACGCCGCGUGAGUGAAGAAGGUUUUCGGAUCGUAAACUCUGUUGGUAGAGAAGACGUUGGUGAGAGUGGAAAGCUCAUCAAGUGACGGUAACUACCCAGAAAGGGACGGCUAACUACGUGCCAG
rnacentral:rRNA from 1 species